AAAUGUAAUAGCUUUAGCAACAAAAAUAGACGUCGCUAAAAGUCCUAAAAAAUUCCCCCUUUUAUUUCCCUCCUCUUUUUCAUUAAACAAUUUUAAUUAAAAAACCCUUUCCCUCUUUCCAUUACCCAACCCGAAAGCUCUCCAUCUCCACCUCCUCUCCUCCCAUCUCCACCCAAAAGUUCUCCAUCGCCGAACCACUCAUCUGUACGAACUAAGGAUGCUGACGACGAAGUACGAUGACGCUUCUACGACCGAACGAACUGCACGAUGCUUCUACGGCCACGCUAGACGAACCACGCGAAGCACGCCAUUUCCAUCUGUACGAACCACCCGACGGCCAUCAACCUCGAACGGUCCCAAAAGCUACUUCACGCGAACAGCCCUAUGAUUCUGCUCUAACUUCCUUAAACACUUCUGCUCCACGCCCAAGACAUUCUUGUGAGAUGCUUAAGUUUUAAAAUUUUUUGGGUGAUGUAUUUGGAAUUUGAUUUGUUGAAUAUUUAUUCUCUUAAUUAGUUUUAAGAUUGGGUGAUGUCUUCAUUUCAUGUUUUUCUAAUGCCAUUUUUGUGAACUUUUCAUUGUUCUAUCAUAAUGUAGUGAUCCAGAGGAUAGACCAAGACCAAGGCCAAUUUUAGCAAGGUUUAAUUUGCUACUAUAAUUAUUCUUGCAUUUGUAAUAGGACACCAAAAGAAGUCCUUGCAGACACAGGAGUAAAGCCAACGUUGACUCCUAAUUUGAAUACCCUAGCUCUAGUUGAGGAAGGAGGAAUCUUUCAAGCGAUGAUUGUGUAAUGCUAUUAAAAGAAAGGUUGUGGAAUCCAAGUUUGUAUUUGAAACCAAGUUCAUACAAGGUCAUUGAGUUUCAAGCUUCUUUAAUUAAUUUGUGUUUCUUGAACAACUAGUAUUGUAAUGAUCAACUAUAUGUAUGUUUAAGCAUAUAUAUGCAAUUUGUUAGUUCUUUUAAAAGAUUGGGUUGAUUGAAGAAACAUAAAUGGUUCAA